rnacentral:rRNA from 1 species
GGGUUGUGAGGUUAAGCGACUAAGCGUACACGGUGGAUGCCCUGGCAGUCAGAGGCGAUGAAGGACGUGCUAAUCUGCGAUAAGCGUCGGUAAGGUGAUAUGAACCGUUAUAACCGGCGAUUUCCGAAUGGGGAAACCCAGUGUGAUUCGUCACACUAUCAUUAACUGAAUCCAUAGGUUAAUGAGGCGAACCGGGGGAACUGAAACAUCUAAGUACCCCGAGGAAAAGAAAUCAACCGAGAUUCCCCCAGUAGCGGCGAGCGAACGGGGAGCAGCCCAGAGCCUGAAUCAGUGUGUGUGUUAGUGGAAGCGUCUGGAAAGGCGCGCGAUACAGGGUGACAGCCCCGUACACAAAAAUGCACAUACUGUGAGCUCGAUGAGUAGGGCGGGACACGUGGUAUCCUGUCUGAAUAUGGGGGGACCAUCCUCCAAGGCUAAAUACUCCUGACUGACCGAUAGUGAACCAGUACCGUGAGGGAAAGGCGAAAAGAACCCCGGCGAGGGGAGUGAAAAAGAACCUGAAACCGUGUACGUACAAGCAGUGGGAGCACGCUUAGGCGUGUGACUGCGUACCUUUUGUAUAAUGGGUCAGCGACUUAUAUUCUGUAGCAAGGUUAACCGAAUAGGGGAGCCGAAGGGAAACCGAGUCUUAACUGGGCGUUAAGUUGCAGGGUAUAGACCCGAAACCCGGUGAUCUAGCCAUGGGCAGGUUGAAGGUUGGGUAACACUAACUGGAGGACCGAACCGACUAAUGUUGAAAAAUUAGCGGAUGACUUGUGGCUGGGGGUGAAAGGCCAAUCAAACCGGGAGAUAGCUGGUUCUCCCCGAAAGCUAUUUAGGUAGCGCCUCGUGAAUUCAUCUCCGGGGGUAGAGCACUGUUUCGGCAAGGGGGUCAUCCCGACUUACCAACCCGAUGCAAACUGCGAAUACCGGAGAAUGUUAUCACGGGAGACACACGGCGGGUGCUAACGUCCGUCGUGAAGAGGGAAACAACCCAGACCGCCAGCUAAGGUCCCAAAGUCAUGGUUAAGUGGGAAACGAUGUGGGAAGGCCCAGACAGCCAGGAUGUUGGCUUAGAAGCAGCCAUCAUUUAAAGAAAGCGUAAUAGCUCACUGGUCGAGUCGGCCUGCGCGGAAGAUGUAACGGGGCUAAACCAUGCACCGAAGCUGCGGCAGCGACGCUGAUGCGUUGUUGGGUAGGGGAGCGUUCUGUAAGCCUGUGAAGGUGUGCUGUGAGGCAUGCUGGAGGUAUCAGAAGUGCGAAUGCUGACAUAAGUAACGAUAAAGCGGGUGAAAAGCCCGCUCGCCGGAAGACCAAGGGUUCCUGUCCAACGUUAAUCGGGGCAGGGUGAGUCGACCCCUAAGGCGAGGCCGAAAGGCGUAGUCGAUGGGAAACAGGUUAAUAUUCCUGUACUUGGUGUUACUGCGAAGGGGGGACGGAGAAGGCUAUGUUGGCCGGGCGACGGUUGUCCCGGUUUAAGCGUGUAGGCUGGUUUUCCAGGCAAAUCCGGAAAAUCAAGGCUGAGGCGUGAUGACGAGGCACUACGGUGCUGAAGCAACAAAUGCCCUGCUUCCAGGAAAAGCCUCUAAGCAUCAGGUAACAUCAAAUCGUACCCCAAACCGACACAGGUGGUCAGGUAGAGAAUACCAAGGCGCUUGAGAGAACUCGGGUGAAGGAACUAGGCAAAAUGGUGCCGUAACUUCGGGAGAAGGCACGCUGAUAUGUAGGUGAAGUCCCUCGCGGAUGGAGCUGAAAUCAGUCGAAGAUACCAGCUGGCUGCAACUGUUUAUUAAAAACACAGCACUGUGCAAACACGAAAGUGGACGUAUACGGUGUGACGCCUGCCCGGUGCCGGAAGGUUAAUUGAUGGGGUUAGCGCAAGCGAAGCUCUUGAUCGAAGCCCCGGUAAACGGCGGCCGUAACUAUAACGGUCCUAAGGUAGCGAAAUUCCUUGUCGGGUAAGUUCCGACCUGCACGAAUGGCGUAAUGAUGGCCAGGCUGUCUCCACCCGAGACUCAGUGAAAUUGAACUCGCUGUGAAGAUGCAGUGUACCCGCGGCAAGACGGAAAGACCCCGUGAACCUUUACUAUAGCUUGACACUGAACAUUGAGCCUUGAUGUGUAGGAUAGGUGGGAGGCUUUGAAGUGUGGACGCCAGUCUGCAUGGAGCCGACCUUGAAAUACCACCCUUUAAUGUUUGAUGUUCUAACGUUGACCCGUAAUCCGGGUUGCGGACAGUGUCUGGUGGGUAGUUUGACUGGGGCGGUCUCCUCCUAAAGAGUAACGGAGGAGCACGAAGGUUGGCUAAUCCUGGUCGGACAUCAGGAGGUUAGUGCAAUGGCAUAAGCCAGCUUGACUGCGAGCGUGACGGCGCGAGCAGGUGCGAAAGCAGGUCAUAGUGAUCCGGUGGUUCUGAAUGGAAGGGCCAUCGCUCAACGGAUAAAAGGUACUCCGGGGAUAACAGGCUGAUACCGCCCAAGAGUUCAUAUCGACGGCGGUGUUUGGCACCUCGAUGUCGGCUCAUCACAUCCUGGGGCUGAAGUAGGUCCCAAGGGUAUGGCUGUUCGCCAUUUAAAGUGGUACGCGAGCUGGGUUUAGAACGUCGUGAGACAGUUCGGUCCCUAUCUGCCGUGGGCGCUGGAGAACUGAGGGGGGCUGCUCCUAGUACGAGAGGACCGGAGUGGACGCAUCACUGGUGUUCGGGUUGUCAUGCCAAUGGCACUGCCCGGUAGCUAAAUGCGGAAGAGAUAAGUGCUGAAAGCAUCUAAGCACGAAACUUGCCCCGAGAUGAGUUCUCCCUGACUCCUUGAGAGUCCUGAAGGAACGUUGAAGACGACGACGUUGAUAGGCCGGGUGUGUAAGCGCAGCGAUGCGUUGAGCUAACCGGUACUAAUGAACCGUGAGGCUUAACCUUACAACGCCGAAGGUGUUU